rnacentral:rRNA from 1 species
CCGAUGCAAACUACGAAUACCGAAGAAUGUUAUCACGGGAGACACACGGCGGGUGCUAACGUCCGUCGUGAAGAGGGAAACAACCCAGACCGCCAGCUAAGGUCCCAAAGUCAUGGUUAAGUGGGAAACGAUGUGGGAAGGCACAGACAGCCAGGAUGUUGGCUUAGAAGCAGCCAUCAUUUAAAGAAAGCGUAAUAGCUCACUGGUCGAGUCGGCCUGCGCGGAAGAUGUAACGGGGCUAAACCAUGCACCGAAGCUGCGGCAGCGACACUAUGUGUUGUUGGGUAGGGGAGCGUUCUGUAAGCCUGCGAAGGUGUGCUGUGAGGCAUGCUGGAGGUAUCAGAAGUGCGAAUGCUGACAUAAGUAACGAUAAAGCGGGUGAAAAGCCCGCUCGCCGGAAGACCAAGGGUUCCUGUCCAACGUUAAUCGGGGCAGGGUGAGUCGACCCCUAAGGCGAGGCCGAAAGGCGUAGUCGAUGGGAAACAGGUUAAUAUUCCUGUACUUGGUGUUACUGCGAAGGGGGGACGGAGAAGGCUAUGUUAGCCGGGCGACGGUUGUCCCGGUUUAAGCAUGUAGGCUGGUUGUCCAGGCAAAUCCGGAUAAUCAAGGCUGAGGUGUGAUGACGAGGCACUACGGUGCUGAAGUAACAAAUGCCCUGCUUCCAGGAAAAGCCUCUAAGCAUCAGGUAACAUCAAAUCGUACCCCAAACCGACACAGGUGGUCAGGUAGAGAAUACCAAGGCGCUUGAGAGAACUCGGGUGAAGGAACUAGGCAAAAUGGUGCCGUAACUUCGGGAGAAGGCACGCUGGUGUGUAGGUGAAGUCCCUGCGGAUGGAGCUGAGACCAGUCGAAGAUACCAGCUGGCUGCAACUGUUUAUUAAAAACACAGCACUGUGCAAACACGAAAGUGGACGUAUACGGUGUGACGCCUGCCCGGUGCCGGAAGGUUAAUUGAUGGGGUUAUCCGUAAGGAGAAGCUCUUGAUCGAAGCCCCGGUAAACGGCGGCCGUAACUAUAACGGUCCUAAGGUAGCGAAAUUCCUUGUCGGGUAAGUUCCGACCUGCACGAAUGGCGUAAUGAUGGCCAGGCUGUCUCCACCCGAGACUCAGUGAAAUUGAACUCGCUGUGAAGAUGCAGUGUACCCGCGGCAAGACGGAAAGACCCCGUGAACCUUUACUAUAGCUUGACACUGAACAUUGAGCCUUGAUGUGUAGGAUAGGUGGGAGGCUUUGAAGCGUGGACGCCAGUCUGCGUGGAGCCAACCUUGAAAUACCACCCUUUAAUGUUUGAUGUUCUAACGUUGGCCCCUGACCGGGGUUGCGGACAGUGUCUGGUGGGUAGUUUGACUGGGGCGGUCUCCUCCCAAAGCGUAACGGAGGAGCACGAAGGUUAGCUAAUCCUGGUCGGACAUCAGGAGGUUAGUGCAAUGGCAUAAGCUAGCUUGACUGCGAGCGUGACGGCGCGAGCAGGUGCGAAAGCAGGUCAUAGUGAUCCGGUGGUUCUGAAUGGAAGGGCCAUCGCUCAACGGAUAAAAGGUACUCCGGGGAUAACAGGCUGAUACCGCCCAAGAGUUCAUAUCGACGGCGGUGUUUGGCACCUCGAUGUCGGCUCAUCACAUCCUGGGGCUGAAGUAGGUCCCAAGGGUAUGGCUGUUCGCCAUUUAAAGUGGUACGCGAGCUGGGUUUAGAACGUCGUGAGACAGUUCGGUCCCUAUCUGCCGUGGGCGCUGGAGAAUUGAGGGGGGCUGCUCCUAGUACGAGAGGACCGGAGUGGACGCAUCACUGGUGUUCGGGUUGUCAUGCCAAUGGCACUGCCCGGUAGCUAAAUGCGGAAGAGAUAAGUGCUGAAAGCAUCUAAGCACGAAACUUGCCCCGAGAUGAGUUCUCCCUGAGACUUUAAGUCUCCUGAAGGAACGUUAAAGACGAUGACGUUGAUAGGCCGGGUGUGUAAGCGCAGCGAUGCGUUGAGCUAACCGGUACUAAUGAACCGUGAGGCUUAACCUUACAACGCCGAAG